GGGUUUAUCCAUGCUUCCAGUUUGUAUUUAUUAGCGAGAAUGACAGGCAAGUUUUCCUCCCGGUUCCACAGGAAAAUAGCAAUACAUCUCCCACGCCCUUCCCCUUUUAACGGCCUGGCUCUCUGUUUGCUCGCCAUCUCUAAACAAGCCAGGAUUACACAACUGACCGACACUGAAGGCAAACAGCCUUUGAAGUCAAUAUUAGUUAUGAACUCGGAAGGGUCCGUGUCUGGGAGCUGCCAUCCAUCCCCAGAGCAGGGCGGGAGGAAGGCAGCACCCAUUCAGUCUUGGGCUAAUAGGGGCAGCUUUGGCAGGGAAGAGCUGUGAGAAAGGAUCCCAAAAGCAGAUGUCCUCCAGCAGCAGUGCCAGUGGUUUGCAUCCUACUGCAGAGGAAUGUGGACACAUGUUGGCCAUGCCACGGUGCAGUUCUUCUUGGCCAAGGAAGAACGGUGUCCCCGGUGUGCCAUCAGGUUUGGCUCAUGGAUGGGAAUGCUGUCAUUUGCCCGAGUACCUGCUCACUGCUCCAUGAGGCAUGGCUCCACUCCACCAGGAGGAGAAAAGAGCAUCAGUCCCACCUCAAACACGAGCACUGGCAAAGGGCUGAGCAUCACCUUGGCUUCUGCCUCCAAGGACACUUAAUCAGUGACAAUGGAUUUGACAUCACCAUUUACCCAUCGUCACCAAACCAAACACCAAGCGAUGUCCACAUGUUUCUGGGCUUUGUUGUUCUGCCAUAGUUUUCCCAAGGGCAGUACAUGGUUCUUAAAACACUCUAGCAAUGGUUCCAAAGGAAAGGGCCCAGGACUCCACGUUCCUGACCAAGGUCCUGCUGUCCCAGUGGAGCACAGCAGUCACACCACCAGCUCAAUAUCAAGACCACAAGUCACUCACUCACCACAGCUGAACACCCAACACAUUCAUACACGUGCCCAAGGCUACGGUGCUUUUUAGAUGAAAGAACAUCCUUAGUUUUUUUGGAAUGAAGGCAUAACUCUUAAAAAAAAAAAAAAUCAAAGGACAUUUCCAUUACAUAAAUAUCCUUUUUUUACGUUGCAUUUCCACACAGCACCUUCCAGUGCUUCAGCUCUACAGGGUGGGAGGGGACACACGGUCCACGGACGUGAAACAACAUGAUUUAAGGGGAAUUAAUCUGCAUCUCAGGCGCUUUGGAGCAGGAGGCAUGCGAGGGGUGGCCGCCUAGUUGGCGGGUGAUGGUUAAGGGGUUGCAGAAAGGAAAGAGGGAAAGGACAGGGAAGAUUUUUUUCUGCAAAGCAAAGGCAUUAAGCUCUUGGCCUGGCUUUACCGGGGCAGAGAAGUUUGCCAAAGCGCCGGUUUCCUGUGCAAUCAAACCCGUCCACUCGGCAGCACCGCGAUAGGGCCAUGAUGUAAGUGUGGCUGAGCCAAGGCAAACGGAAAAGAACAGCGAGCACUCCGAGAGGCAACGGAUUUUAUUAAGCAGUUUAAUUGUUUCUGAGGGUGACAUUUUUCCCUUUCUUGACGUUCCCCUCACUGCGGUUUGGCCUUGCGCCCCCCAGAAUCCCACCUAAUCCCUAUGGGAUGUGCUGGGGAGGAUGCAGCCAUGCGAUGUGAAGGGACACAGCUCCCAGUUUCAGACCCAAGGCACUGCGGUUGCCAGCUCUUGGUGUGCUGCUCCCAUUGCUUCUCCAGAGGCGUUCACCCCUCUGCAUGGGGCUGCACCCUGUGCUGGUCCAAGCAUCCUCAUUAAGAGCCCAAAAUCCCAAAAAGAUUCAGAAAGAAGAACGGAGGAGGGAAAAAAUAAAAUUAAAUUAAAAUCCACAGCUACUUCCUUGGAACCAGGCAAGCUCUUGGUCCUUCACAAGGGAAAAAAUGGAGCUACUGUUUGACCUGAGAGCACGCAGCCAUCCAGCCCCACAGAUCCUGAGGCCACCCGGCCAGGAGGAGGAUGUACAGAGCGCAGCAGGGAGCAGUAAUUCAGCCAUCCCUGCCCUGCGUGGGUGCAGCAGAGCGAGGUCAGCUCAGGACCCUGGAUCACAGCGAGCGGCGGUGGGUGGCUGCACUGGGGCCGUUCCCAUGUCAGCGCUGGGGGAAGGAGCACAGGAUGACCCCGGGUGCACCCCAAUCCCUGAGGGUGCUGGGCACUGUGCUGCCUCUGCCCUUCCUCCCUCCCAUCCGCAGCGAUGUGCUGGUGGCUGUUCCUGCUGCAGCGCCUCAGCUCUCCUCUCAGGUGCACCUUGAGCCUCCACUGUUGGCCCUGCAAAGGAAAAAUCCAGCAUUAGUGGGUUGUGAUGGAGGAAAUUGUCAUUCCUCUUGGUUACUCUUU
ensembl:lncRNA